ensembl:snoRNA
GGGUUAUUUCAAAGAGGUCUUGUUAGGUUGUGAAAGCAAGAGCUCCAAACAUUGUAACCCAAGAUGGAAGUUCUCCAUAGGAUGGUAAAGUAACUUAAUAGUACUGAGUUACUCAUAGAAGAAUGCCUU